UCUAUCAUUAUUUUUAUAUAUAUCAGCUUUUAUUUUUAAAGCGUUGAUGCCACAGUUGAGUAAGGAGAUAACUCCCAAGGAUCGUCCAGGGACUCUUCAAAAGGGCCCUGUGAUAUUUCUCAUCAGAGUUGAAAUUAACCAAGAAAAACUCGUAAUUUGACAUGAAGCAAUCUGAAACCUAUUUUACGGCUCAACAGCUUAAUCACCACUGCUCUCUUCCAGAACUUGGCUAGACUCUCCUCCAGCUGAUCUGAGAAUGGAUUUCUGGAAUCAAGCCAUUUUGCACCACUUAUUCAUCCAUCUCAGAAGUUUGUGAAACCAGUUUAUCACAAAAGGAGAUUCCUUCGAGAACCAACCCUGACGUUCCAUCUCGAUGCUUGCAUUUCUUGGUUUCCCUAUCCUCCUCUCCUCCCCUGAGCAAGUCAGCGACUCGCUUUCCAAAGGGAGAGAAGUCGAG
rnacentral:lncRNA from 1 species